rnacentral:rRNA from 1 species
GAGGAAUAUUGGGCAAUGGGCGAAAGCCUGACCCAGCAACGCCGCGUGAAGGAAGAAGGCCCUCGGGUUGUAAACUUCUUUUAUUCGGGACGAAACAAAUGACGGUACCGAAUGAAUAAGCCACGGCUAACUACGUGCCAGCAGCCGCGGUAAUACGUAGGUGGCGAGCGUUAUCCGGAUUUACUGGGUGUAAAGGGCGUGUAGGCGGGACUGCAAGUCAGAUGUGAAAAUUAUGGGCUCAACCCAUAACCUGCAUUUGAAACUGUAGUUCUUGAGUGAUGGAGAGGCAGGCGGAAUUCCGUGUGUAGCGGUGAAAUGCGUAGAUAUACGGAGGAACACCAGUGGCGAAGGCGACUGCCUGGGCCAACACUGACACUGAGGCACGAAAGCGUGGGGAGCAAACA